rnacentral:tRNA from 1 species
ACUUCAGUAGCUCAGCAGCAGAGCGAGGCGGUUCGAACGCCUGGGUCGCGGGUGCAAGUCCCGCCUGGGGUA